GAUAUCUCAGAUCCCCCACAUCGCAGAAAACUCAAAAGUCAUGCUCUGUCUUAGCCAAUUUUCAUUGAUUUUUUGUUUCCGUAAUGGGAAGAUUUGUGGGUUCCUUCUAAUAAAUCACGAUUACAUAUGGAAUCACCCGAUUUUUUUGGAUUAUCAGAAACUGUUUCGUCAAUUGAAAUAUCUGUAUCCCAGAGAAAUAUCAGUACUAUGUUUAAUCAUCAACUACAACCUGUUGUAUAGGUAAUUUCUGAAACUGUAACUAUGCUAUAGGUACGUUGUGGUAAAAUCCUAAACAUCAUGUGUUUUGAUUUGUGGCCGUCUGUUAUAGUUGUAGAGUGUUGUAGAGUGUUGUUGAAUGAUUAUUAACAACUUAAGAUUGUGAACGUUGUA